rnacentral:rRNA from 1 species
UACGUAGGGUGCGAGCGUUAAUCGGAAUUACUGGGCGUAAAGCGUGCGCAGGCGGUUCGUUGUGUCCGUCGUGAAAGCCCCGGGCUCAACCUGGGAACUGCGAUGGAAACUGGCGGGCUUGAGUGUGGCAGAGGGGGGUGGAAUUCCGCGUGUAGCAGUGAAAUGCGUAGAUAUGCGGAGGAACACCGAUGGCGAAGGCAAUCCCCUGGACCUGUACUGACGCUCAUGCACGAAAGCGUGGGGAGCAAACGAGG